AUUGAACGCUGGCGGCAGGCCUAACACAUGCAAGUCGAACGAGUGGCGGACGGGUGAGUAAUGUAUGGGAAACUGCCUGAUGGAGGGGGAUAACUACUGGAACCGGUAGCUAAUACCGCAUACUAUCAGAUGUGCCCAGAUGGGUUUAGCUAGUAGGUGGGGUAACGGCUCACCUAGGCGGCGAUCCCUAGCAGGUCUGAGAGGAUGACCAGCCACACUGUGAAUGAGGCACGUACCAGACUCCGACGUGAGGCAGCAGUGGUGUAUAUUGCACAAUUGGCGCAAGCCUGAUGCAGCCAUGCCGCGUGUAUGAAGAAGGCCUUAGGGUUGUAAAGUACUUUCAGCGGGGAGGCGUUACCCGCAGAAGAAGCACCGGCUAACUCCGUGCCAGCAGCCGCGGUAAUUC
rnacentral:rRNA from 1 species